UUGCAGAACUUGGUGACUUUGCGGUGAAUACCGCAAAAAUAAUUUCUUGUGAAUCGUGUAACGGUUCCGUAGCUUCUGUAGACCUCAUUCCAGCAGUAAUAGAAGCAAGGUUAAAAUGCAAAGUAGAACCUGCAACAGUAGCACUAAAAAUGAUGUACACCUUCGAACAACAAGACCCUAAAAAAACCUUUCA
rnacentral:ribozyme from 1 species